rnacentral:tmRNA from 1 species
AAUUUCCAGUAUGAAUAUUAUAAUAAAUAUUGCCACGCAAGUGGUGAUGAUUCUGAAUUCAUUGCGGAAUAAUCGUUUUGGACUGGGGGGCGGUACCCCACAGCUCCACCAUUUUAAUUCUUAUGGGGCUGACAUAGUUUCGACAGGCGAAGUAAAGGCAAAUGAUUGAAUCCGACAUGGUUGUCGUAAAACACUAACUAAAAACUGAAUGGCGAUAGAAUCGCUGCGAACGACAACGUUCGCCUUGCAAUGGCUGCCUAAAAUGGCUCUGAAAUAUAUUGACAAUUGUUGAUAUAUUUCGUUUUAGCUUUUGCGGGGUCUGUCGGGUACCUGGCACCAGAAACCC